rnacentral:rRNA from 1 species
UACGAAGGGUGCGAGCGUUACUCGGAAUUACUGGGCGUAAAGCGUGCGCAGGUGGUUUGUUAAGUCUGCUGUGAAAGCCCCGGGCUCAACCUGGGAAUGGCAGUGGAGACUGGCAAGCUAGAGUGCGGUAGAGGAUAGUGGAAUUCCCGGUGUAGCGGUGAAAUGCGUAGAGAUCGGGAGGAACACCAGUGGCGAAGGCGGCUAUCUGGACCAGCACUGACACUCAGGCACGAAAGCGUGGGGAGCAAACAGG